UAGGCAAAGGCAAGCGUCUUCUAAAGCAUGGACAAGUCGCCAUUGUUCUGUCCAUUUUUCUGAGAGAUCUUAUAAAUUUGUCACAGAACUACAGAACAUUCAUCGGUUGAUUCGGAAUCAGGUCAGAUUGUCAGUGGUACUGGUUUCGAUAACCUUCAAGUCAACAUUGGAUACCUUGGUCUUAGAACUCUCAUCGAUUGAAUUCAUACUAGUAUAGGUCAGAUUGCUAAUGGUACUGACUCGAUAACCUUCAAGUCAACAUUGGAUACCUUGGUCAAUGAACUUUAUUCACCGAUUGAAUUCAUAAUAGGCCAGAUUGCUAGUGGUACUGACUUGUUUAACUUCUCAUCAACAAGACCUGAUACGUUGUCUCAAAACAUUCAUUGAUUGAAUUCAUAAUCAGAGGGAAUCAGAAUGAACGCAACGUACGUAGAUCUCAAGGAUGCGGUGUUUGAACAUGAGACCAGGAAGUUUUUCGUCCGCGCUCCUGAAAAAGUUCGCACUAAACUUCGAGCGAAGAAGCGCCCAGCAGGCACGUCUGAUCAUCCACAACUUCCCAAUGGUGUGGAUUGAAAAUCGUCGUUUCAGUUGUGAGUUAAGGACCAUCAUGCCUUACCCCACUUAGUCAAAUUCAAUUUCAACCAAUCAAGAAUCACUUUUGAUGGAUUAUUCAAAAUCCAAAAUCAAGAUAUGUUGAAGAAUCAAGAAUGUCAAGUUGGCGCGCCGUGCCGUGCAGAAACCCCUAGUUGCCUAGUAACUUUAUUACAUUCACGUGUAUUAACAUGUAUGUCUGUCCUUAAUUAAUAAAGUUGGUUACGAGAA